rnacentral:rRNA from 1 species
UACGUAGGGUGCAAGCGUUGUCCGGAAUUAUUGGGCGUAAAGAGCUCGUAGGCGGUCUGUCGCGUCGGCUGUGAAAACCCGGGGCUCAACCCCGGGCCUGCAGUCGAUACGGGCAGACUAGAGUGCGGUAGGGGCGACUGGAAUUCCUGGUGUAGCGGUGAAAUGCGCAGAUAUCAGGAGGAACACCGGUGGCGAAGGCGGGUCUAUGGGCCGUAACUGACGCUGAGGAGCGAAAGCGUGGGGAGCGAACAGG